GUAUUAUACUGUGCGCCACAAAAUUUUAGGUUGCUUGGAAUUGUCAUUACAAAUGGCGUGUGUUUUUCGGGGAUCAACUAGAUUAGGAAUGAAAAGGGUGGGGUUCCUGUUUUUCACAUAACCAUUUCAAAGUAAAUGAACAAUUACGCUUUCUAAAAGGUUCAAAAAAGCAUGGAGACAAUGUUUUCAUGAAGAUUAUAUCUGGUUUCUGUUCUUUAAUUUUUCAUAAAACCAGAGAACCAACAAAUCUGAUAAACUUCAGUUAUUCUUUUUUUUUUGAAUUAACAAGUGCUUAAUUUUAACGAAUGCAUGCAUGCUCAUUUUGUCCUCAGAUUGGUGACCCACAAACUUAUACAGGAACAAUAUUUGGAGAAUACAGACUUUUAAAUUGUCUUUCUCUCAAUCUACUGGCGACAUUUUUGGAGCUCUAACAAAGCAUGAUGCAAUUACUAUUUCUACUAUGUUUAGUUUUAACUUUUAUACGAGAACCAAUAAUUUAUGUCUACUUUGUAAUUUUGAGUUUUAUGAUGCCAUUCUAUAACUGGUUAUUUGUUACUUCUAGUGGUCCUUAUUUUUAUAUCACCCAGAAAGAUUAUUAUAAUUGAUAUAAUACCUGUUCUUUAAAGAUGAGGUAUUAGUGCCAUUAUUGCUUUCAUAUCUAGGGCGAUUAAUUUAUGUCUACUUUGUAAUUUUGAGUUUUAUGAUGCCAUUCUAUAACUGGUUAUUUGUUACUUCCAGUGGUCCUUAUUUUUAUAUCACCCAGAAAGAUUAUUAUAAUUGAUAUAAUACCUGUUCUUUAAAGAUGAGGUAUUAGUGCCAUUAUUGCUUUCAUAUCUAGGGCGAUUACACUCACGUGUGAAACCUCUUUACAUUUGGUCAACAGUGAGACAGUCAAGUUUGGUCAUGUCACCUUUUUCUGG
rnacentral:lncRNA from 1 species